UGGGGUUUGGGUAAUCGUUCUGUGCCAGUGCUAAGUUUUGCCUUGCAGCUUCUCAGGGAGUGUACCAGCAUGUGGGCAUUCAAGCGUUGAUUGAUGAAAGAACUGCAGCAAGGGGAGCGGGUUGGGCUUGACCCUUGCCCUCUGCUCGCUUCACGUGUCUCAGCCCAGGCCUCCUUCGUCUCACCUGCGACCCGGAGCCUGGGCUGCUCUCGAGGCCAGGGUCCCCUUCGAUCCAGCCCGGUUGGGGGCGUUGUGCCAGGGUGGCCUUGGUCACACAACCCAGUGUCCGUGAGGAGCCUGGCCCAGCGGAAGGCAGCUCGCUGGACACUGGUUUUCAUUCCCUUUUCCACUGGGGUGAGAAGGGACUCGGCGCCGUUGCCUUGAGGACGCAAGGUCACUGUGCAGGGGGCCACAUUCAGAGCAGGACGGCUUCCGCGAUUGCUUCCCCGUGGAAACGCGGCCUCUUCUCCCCCCUUGCAGGUGCGCCCAGCCGCGGGGCGGGGGCCGGGCUUCUUUCUGGAAGGGGACCCAGAGAUCGGAAAGCCUGAAUCCAAGGGCAUUGAGUCAGCGGGGGUCUUGCGUUGGCAGCGGUGGUGACGUGGGAAUGUGGAGGCCCGGGCCGUGGGGACGGGGUCACCGUCUCGGGGGCUCUGCAGGGCUUUCUGUUUCCUGCUCGCUGGCUGCGCCAUCGCAUCUCACAGAUGCCGGAAGCCUUGACGGGGUCGCGCUUCCGGGGUCGCACUGUAAUUGGCCCAAGUGAGGUUCGAACUUUCUGCUCAGACCCCACUCUGAUAGCCGGUUCUCCUGCUUCUGUGUCCCGGGGGAGGCUGUGGGAGGCCUCGAGGAUCCCCGGUCACCACUUCCCAGCAGCACAGGCCAGGCCCUUCUGCAGAUGCCGUCACAUGGCCCCAGGUUUCCACCUGGCUCCUUAGGGCCGUGGGACUGGAAGAACCGCUCAGGAGAGAGCGAGGUCAGCCUCGGAAGCCUGGCCACUGCGCGGACUGCACCAUCAGGAGCCCGAUGGAUGGCGUCCGAGCUGGGGAAGACCGGGAGCGGUGCCCAGCGUGGGCAGGGAGGACCCAGACCCCCCACUUGUGGGUCCCGCCUUCACACUUUCUCUCCCGUGGUUCUCACCCGUAUGACGGGGUUUGUAAAGUGACCUGCGGGCCCAAGCGUGCUCACCUUUCCUCUUCUGCUCAACGUAAGUAACGCUGGGAGCGCGAGUCAGAACAGUCACAGAGGACGAGAAAGGAAAGGCAUCCAAAUGGGAAAGAAAGAAGUAAAAUUCUGUCCAUAGAUGACAUAACCGAAUAUGUAGAAAACCCUAAAAACUGCGUGGGAAAAAAUGGUUAGAGUUAAUCAAGAGAUUCAGCAAAGCGGCAGGAUACAAAAUCAGCACUCAGAAAUCAGCUGUGUGGAGUUCCCGUCGUGGCUCAGUGGUUAACGAAUCCGACUAGGAACCAUGAAGUUGAGGGUUCGAUCCCUGGCCUUGCUCAUUGGGUUAAGGAUCCGGCGUUGCCGUGAGCUGUGGUGUGGGUCGCAGACGCGGCUCAGAUCCUGCGUUGCUAUGGCUGUGGCGUAGACCGGUAGCUCUGAUUGGAGCCCUAGCCUGGGGACUUUCAUAUGCCGCAGGUGUGGCCCUAGAAAAGGCAAAAAGACCAAAAAAAACAAAAAAAAAACAAAAA
ensembl:lncRNA